rnacentral:misc_RNA from 1 species
GAGAAAAGAAGGCUAAGGAAUGGAGACUUAUGAAAGAAUAAAUCUAUUCUAAAGUGAAUUUACAUUUUACACGUCCUUAAAAGGGCAGAUAAAUCCCUCUUACACAAUGGAAAACAUUUCAAAAGUUACAGCUUUAAUUUCAAUAAAAUUAAUUACUGCAUAAUAAGUACUUGUAUACAAACUAACUUAAAAUUUUGAUGGCCACUCUCAAUUUAAACCAAGAGCUUAAAGAGUCAAGCAAGAUAGCAAAACAUAAACAACUGAAAUUGAAGGCUACUACUUGAACACCUUAGCAGCCACAGCA